UACGGGGGGAGCAAGCGUUGUUCGGAUUUACUGGGCGUAAAGGGCGCGUAGGCGGUCGUGACAAGUCACUUGCGAAAUCUCCGGGCUUAACUCGGAACGGUCAAGUGAUACUGUCGGACUAGAGUACAGAAGGGGCAACUGGAAUUCUCGGUGUAGCGGUGAAAUGCGUAGAUAUCGAGAGGAACACCUGCGGCGAAGGCGGGUUGCUGGGCUGAUACUGACGCUGAGGCGCGAAAGCCAGGGGAGCGAACGGG
rnacentral:rRNA from 1 species